UUUUAUUUAAAGCUUAAUACUGUUAACAUCACAUUUUAGAAAAUCCAAACUAAGCCAAUAUCUUUAUAGGAUCCUUUAACAGAACUGUAUUUUAUACAUAUAUUUUUAUUCCUUACAGCAUCAGCACUGAAGAGUGCUUUAUACACAGCGAGCUGUCAGUUCUGUUAGUUUUUUGUUUGUUUGAAUUACAAAUGAUAUAGCUCUCCAAAAAUUUAGAAAAAUCCAGAAAAAUAAUUGCUCUUAAUUCCACUACCCCAAAGACUAUUUUGGCUUAUUUCCUCCUAAUCUUUUUUUUAACCUACCGGCUUUUUCUCACAAAGUUAUGAUCAUGCUGUAUAUAUAAUUUUGUUUCCUCCUUUUUAAACUUUACAUUAGAACUAUAGAUUCUUGACCUUCAAUCACGUAGACUAUAGGGUUGUUUGUGAAUUAUCAUUAUCAUGCACAUAUAAUUAUAUAUAUGAAGGUGGUUCAACAUUUUCAUCUAAAAUAGGAGUUUUGUACUAUAAGGUAAGAAUUAAAUGACUGAGCUGAGUUUAGAAUGUUCCUACAUUUGCAUUCUUAGAGGUUGUGUGUUUCCAGUAAAGCCACCUCUAUUUGUAAUACGAAAUUCUUAAACAGCUUUUUAUGAUACUAGCCUCGUAGUUGAGUCCCAAUGAUCUGCCAUAGGUGAUGUUAUCAAUCCACUUGACCAGAGAGAAAUGAACUAUGAUAACCUAUAACUAAACUGUGUAUAUUUUGCUUGUUCCUUUAGCCAUCCAUUGUCAUUUAUUUUCAUUUUCCUGGUAAUUGUCACUUACCUACAUAGCAACAUAAGUGUUGCCCUAGCAGAUAGAUUUCUCCCCCUGGACUAGCAACCAUCCACAAGAAGUGCAAACCAAGCAGUUUAAGAGGACAUAAAAAAGGUGUUAAUACAUGCGGAAGUGGGUUGCUCAUGUCUUUCUAUAUCUCAUAUGUACACAAGGCCAUAUAUGAUAGGCUCGUUUCCUAAUGGAGUAAAAUGAUUUCAUUUUCACAAAGCUCUUAUGGAAGUACAAUACUGAUUUUAAAAUAAGAACAUAUCAGAGAGAACACUAUGACUAAGCAGUUCUACUUCUAAGUAUAUACCAAACGCAUGUGAACGUGUAUUUACCAAAAGACAUAGACUAGAAUGUACACAGCAUCAUUGUUCAUUAUAGCCAAAAAGUCAGAAAUUGCCCAAAUACCCAUCAGUACUAGAAUGAACCAGUCAACUGUCGUAUAACGUACAGUGGAAUUCUUAGCAAUGAGAAUGAAUAAACUCAACAACACACAACACCACAGAUGAACUCAGAAAUAUGUGAACAUAUUUGUUCAUAUGAGAACAUGUAAAUAUUGAACAGAUUAAGUCAAACACAAUAUAUAGUGCCUGAUUCCAUUUAUGUAAAGCUCAGAGGCCAGCAAGAGUUAAUAUAUGAUGUUACAAGUCAGGUUGGUGGUUACCUUUGGAGUAUUACAGUGGAAAAUGGCAUUAGGCCUCUGAGGAACUGGUAAUGUUCUGUUCCUUAAUCUAGAGAUCUUUCAGGCAUGUUUGAUUUCAGAAAAUUCAUUAACCCAUACACUUUAUGAUGUGUAUACUUUUAUAUAUUUAUGUACACUUCAGUUAAAAAUUUUAAGUGUUAGAGGAUAAGGUUAUUCAUUGUAGUGUUACUGAUAAUUACAAAAUAUUAGAAAAAACCUAAAUACCCAGUCGAUUCCCAUCGACUAAAUAACUAAUGGCAUACCCCACAGUGGAGUGCUGUGCUGCUCUAAGAAUGAUCGAGGAAGCUCUCUUGUGAUGAUUAGGGGCGCAUAGCUGCCUUAAGCAAGUGAUCAAAGAUGCAGUAGUGAGUGGGACAGAUAAACAUCAUGUGCCUCCUAAUCAUGACACGCCGAGAAGAACUCAACAUCACUUUUGUGGUGUUCCUGCCAAAGAUGUAUAACCUCAAUCUAAUCAAGAGGAAACAGACAAACCCAAAUUGAGGGAUAUUAUGCAAAAUAAUUGGCUAGUACUCUUCAAAAAUAUCAAGGUCAUGAAAAACUGAGAAACUGUUCCAGAAUAAAAGAGACUAGAGAGACAUGACAACCAAAUGUAUUCAGGGGG